CACGCCGUAAACGAUGAGUACUAGGUGUAGGGGGUAUCGACCCCCCCUGUGCCGCAGUAAACACAAUAAGUACUCCGCCUGGGAAGUACGAUCGCAAGAUUAAAACUCAAAGGAAUUGACGGGGACCCGCACAAGCAGCGGAGCAUGUGGUUUAAUUCGAAGCAACGCGAAGAACCUUACCAGGUCUUGACAUCCAACUAACGAAGCAGAGAUGCAUCAGGUGCCCUUCGGGGAAAGUUGAGACAGGUGG
rnacentral:rRNA from 1 species